AGCCUGUUCCAUAUGAAUCAUUCCUGUGCUUCUGAAAACCAUGGCUUAUAGGGAGUUUGUCAGAGAAUAGUUUUGGAGUUUAUCAUUCCUCAAGAAAUUCUUCUCUUGGACAUUUUCAUGGAAAGAGAUUUUUGCUUCCAACAUUUCCAAAAGCAAAUCAAUAUCUACAAAAGCAAUAAAACACCUCAGCAGAAGGACAGCAAGAGCAAUUCAAGAGCAGUUUGGCCCUGCCAGAAGAGCCUUGGGCAGCAGGAAUCUUGGGCAGCACCUCAUGCUGGCAAAGGAAAGGCUUGGAAGUCAAGGGCUCAAGUGCACAGUCCUUCACACAGCUGGCCCCUGGAUCACCAGAAUAACCUAGAGUGUAUUUCACCUUCUAGAAUAAAUUUCCCAAUUGUCCCCAGCAGUGCUGUACAACAACUGCUCCCAGGUAUUUUUAUUGAGAGAAAAUUAUGACAUUUCAAAAUGGUAAAGUCUCCCAGGAAUGGAAACAGUGAUCAACAGGAAGUGUAAGAUCCAGAAUCACAGAAGUAAAAUGGGAAUUGAAGUCAACUCAAAAGAAAUGAAAAAAACCCCAACCAGUGAGCUUUUCAGCCAUCAAAAUUAGAUGACAGUAAGGAAAGUAACAGUGAGGUUGGCUUGAGGGAGGAUGGGUUUAAGGUUGGCAUAGUUGCUUUCUAAAACUGAGAUGGUUUUGUGGGUCUGUGUUCAAUUUGGACAAAGGCUCUGAGCUUGGAUGGGAGAAAACUGCUUUAUGGGAGUGAGUUUGGAAGGGUGAAAAUGAUGCCUUUGAGAUAGAAGUAAAAUUCAAGGAGUGGUUCCAAGCAUCUGUGUCCCAGCUGUCUGAAGGAACUGGCAUUCAAAACUGCACUUCUGCUUAAAGGGUAUUUAGAACUGUGUUAAAGUAGGAGUGGCAAGAGAAAUUUCAAAUAUGAUUCCUGUAUUCCAAAUCAGAAAAAAAACUGUGUUCUAGUUAAAUGUGGUUGUAUUAACAUGCCAUCAGUAGUACACAAAGCAUUAGAGUGCUUUUGGAAAGCAGAGGAAUAGAGAGCAUAGCAAAUGGCAGAAGCAGGAUAACACACAGAAUAGGUUUACUGAAAGCAGAUUUACGAGAUUAACUUGAUAAUCUUUAGAUUAUCCAGAUCUUUUUAGACAAAGGAAACGGCAAUAGAUGUGAUGUGUAUACACUGUGAGAGAAACAUCUGACACAGAGCUACAUGGAGAAUUGUUUGAUUGGGAAUGAUGAAGAUUAGGCCCAGGAUUGUAAAAUAAAUAGAAACUGGCUAAAGGAGAUAAUAACAGAUAAUGCUGAAAGAGGAAAUUCCAGGCUGGAGAGAGCUAAAAGUGGAGUUUCUGAAGGCACAGUUUGGGGACCAAUAUCGCUUAAUAUUUUCAUUAAUCAACUAGGCACAAAAUGAACCUGCUGGAGGAACGUGCUGAUGGCUGGAGGUGGGAGGGUUUGUCCAUAGCAAGGAGGCAGACAGCAUACAGAAAAAGAGAAUAUCCUCAGGGGCCAGGAAGAUAUAAAUGGGAUUACACUGAACAGUUCAACUGGCAAGGUCAGGUAGUUGGGAACUAAUGACAGUUUCUAAUAUAAGGUAAGGCUUGUUGGUUGGACAGAUACAGAAGAAUGGGGCAUAUAUUUGGCAUUAUAUCAAAAGAAGCCUUUCCAGUCAAGAUGGGAAAAAAUGAAUACCCUUUAGAAGGCCAUAGUAAGACUUUUUCAGGAAUGUAGUGACCAGUUGUGACCACCUGUGUCUGAAAGAAAGAAAUUCAACCUCGAGCAGGAGCAGAGAAUGGUAAAUAGUUCAGUGGGAGAAGAGGGAUUGUGCCUUGGCAGAUUAAAGCCUGCAGAGAAUAAAUCAUAAACAUGAUAGGAAUGAGGGGGAUUGUUUUAAGAUUAGACAAUAUUGAUACAUAAAUAACUGUAAGCUGGUCAUCAGUAAGUGACCUUAUAUUUUAGCAGAAGGUUUCUAAAGAAAGAUGGGAGUUUCUGGAAAAGCCUUCCACAGCAGCAGUGGGGACAACCCCUGUCAGUGUUUCAGUGAGG